AAGAUCGUACUUCACAGGAUCAUUUCUGUAGUCGUUUUAACGUUUCCGCUUGCCGGAUUCGUACACUCUGAAGCCUCGAUGAUGCACUGAGGGUGUGGACCUGAGCGUGAAACUGGCGUGACGUAACCCCGCUCGUUUACAUCACGCCUUGAAGAUCGUUCGACCCUGGGAACAGGAGAGAAGGUCCGCACUCGGUCUGAGCGGU